AUUGAACGCUGGCGGCAGGCCUAACACAUGCAAGUCGAGCGGAUGACGGGAGCUUGCUCCUCGAUUCAGCGGCGGACGGGUGAGUAAUACCUAGGAAUCUGCCUGAUAGUGGGGGGCAACGUUUCGAAAGGAACGCUAAUACCGCAUACGUCCUACGGGAGAAAGCAGGGGACCUUCGGGCCUUGCGCUAUCAGAUGAGCCUAGGUCGGAUUAGCAAGUUGUUGAGGUAAUGGCUCACCAAGGCGACGAUCCGUAACUGGUCUGAGAGGAUGAUCAGGCAACCUGGAACUAAGACACGGGCCAGACUCCUACGGGAGGCAGCAGUGGGGAAUAUUGGACAAUGGGCGAAAGCCUGAUCCAGCCAUGCCGCGUGUGUGAAGAAGGUCUUCGGAUUGUAAAGCACUUUAAGUUGGGAGGAAGGGCAGUAAGCUAAUACCUUGCUGUUUUGACGUUACCGACAGAAUAAGCACCGGCUAACUCUGUGCCAGCAGCCGCAGUACCAC
rnacentral:rRNA from 1 species